GACGAACGCUGGCGGCGUGCUUAACACAUGCAAGUCGAACGGAAAGGCCCUGCUUUUGUGGGGUGCUCGAGUGGCGAACGGGUGAGUAACACGUGAGUAUCCUGUCCCUGACUUUGGGAUAACUUCAGGAAACUGGGGCUAAUACCGGAUAGGAGCUCCUGCUGCAUGGUGGGGGAUGGAAAGUUUCGGCGGUUGGGGAUAGACUCGCGGCUUAUCAGCUUGUUGGUGAGGUAGUGGCUUACCAAGGCUUUGACGGGUAGCCGGCCUGAGAGGGUGACCGGGCACAUGAGGCCUGAGAUACGGCCCAGACGCCUACGGGAGGCAGCAGUGGGGAAUAUUGCACAGUGGGCGGAAGCCUGAUGCAGCAACGCCGCGUGCGGGAUGACGGCCUUCGGGUUGUAAACCGCUUUCGCCUGUGACGAAGCGUGAGUGACGGUAAUGGGUAAAGAAGCACCGGCUAACUACGUG
rnacentral:rRNA from 1 species